rnacentral:sRNA from 1 species
GCAGGGCGUGAUGGCGCAUGCCUGUAAUCCCAGUGGCUUGGGAGGCUGAGUCAGGAGGAUCAUGAGUUCAAAGCCAGCCACAGCAAUGGCAAGGCCCUAAGCAACACAGUGAGACCCUGUCUCUA